GUGCUGACAGGGGUGGGUGCAGCAUAUGAACUCAAAUUGGAAUAAUUCAGACAAGAUUGGACUGGCCUUGUGUGAGGACAACAUGCAACUCAUGAAGAGUUCCAUAUUUUG
rnacentral:snRNA from 1 species